rnacentral:rRNA from 1 species
GAUGAACGCUGGCGGCGUGCCUAAUACAUGCAAGUCGAGCGAACGGACGAGAAGAUUGCUUCUCUGAUGUUAGAGGCGGACGGGUGAGUAACACGUGGAUAACAUACCUAUAAGACUGGGAUAACUUCGGGGAACCGUCGCUAAUACCGGAUAAUAUUUUGAUCCGCAUGGUUCAAAAGUGAAAGACGGUCUUGCUGUCACUUAUAGAUGGAUCCGCGCUGCAUUAGCUAGUUGGUAAGGUAACGGCUUACCCAGGCAACGAUGCAUAGCCGACCUGGGAGGGUGAUCGGCCACACUGGAACUGAGACACGGUCCAGACUCCUACGGGAGGCAGCAGUAGGGAAUCUUCCGCAAUGGGCGAAAGCCUGACGGAGCAACGCCGCGUGAGUGAUGAAGGUCUUCGGAUCGUAAAACUCUGUUAUUAGUGAAGAACAUAUGUGUAAGUAACUGUGCACAUCUUGACGGUACCUAAUCAGAAAGCCACGGCUAACUACGUG